rnacentral:rRNA from 1 species
AAAGCUCAAAUUUAAAAUCUGCCAGCCAUUGGCUGUCCGAGUUGUAAUCUAGAGAAGUGUUACCCAUGCUGGACCAUGUACAAGUCUCCUGGAAUGGAGCAUCACAGAGGGUGAGAAUCCCGUCUUUGACAUGGACUACCGGUGCUUUUGUGGUAUGCUCUCAAAGAGUCGAGUUGUUUGGGAAUGCAGCUCAAAAUGGGUGGUAAAUUCCAUCUAAAGCUAAAUAUUGGCGAGAGACCGAUAGCGAA